rnacentral:rRNA from 1 species
GAAUAUUGGACAAUGGGCGAAAGCCUGAUCCAGCCAUGCCGCGUGUGUGAAGAUGGUCUUCGGUUUGUAAAGCAUUUUUAGUUGGGAGGAAGGGCAGUAAGCGGUUACCUUGUUGAUUUGACGUUACUGACAGAAUAAGCACCUGCUAUCUGUGCGCCAGCAUCCGCGGUAAUACAGCGGUGGCAAGCGUUAAUCGGAAUGACUGGGCGUAAAGGGCGGGGUGGGGGGUCGUUAAGUUGGAUGUGAAAUCCCCGGGCUCAACCUGGGAACUGCAUCCAAGAAUGGCGAGCUAGAGUAGGGCAGAGGGUGGUGGAAUUUCCUGUGUAGCGGUGAAAUGCGUAGAUAUAGGAAGGAACACCAGUGGCGAAGGCGACCACCUGGGCUCAUACUGACACUGAGGUGCGAAAGCGUGGGGAGCAAACAG